rnacentral:rRNA from 1 species
ACGGAAGGCAGCAGUGGGGAAUAUUGGGCCAUGGGCGAAAGCCUGACCCAGCAAUGCCGCGUGAAGGAAGAAGGUCUUCGGAUUGUAAACUUCUUUUAUGCGGGACGAAGGAAUUGACGGUACCUCAUGAAUAAGCCACGGCUAACUACGUGCCAGCCGCCGCGGUAAUACGGAGGUGGCACGCGUUAUCCGGAUUUACUGGGUGUAAAGGGCGCGUAGGCGGGGAAGCAAGUCAGAUGUGAAAUCUAUGGGCUUAACUCAUAAACUGCAUUUGAAACUGUUUCUCUUGAGUGCUGGAGAGGUAGAUGGAAUUCCUAGUGUAGCGGUGAAAUGCGUAGAUAUUAGGAAGAACACCAGUGGCGAAGGCGAUCUACUGGACAGUAACUGACGCUGAGGCGCGAAAGCGUGGGGAGCAAACAGGAUUAGAUACCCUGGUA